UCAAACUCCUGGGCUCAAGCGAUCCUCCCACCUCAGGCUCCUAAAGUGCUGAGAUUAUGGAUGUGAAUCAUUACACCCAGCCUGUUACUGGUUUUGUAUAGCAAGUCUUUUGUGGGUGGUGGAAAAAUGAAGUGCUAUGAAAUAUUGUAGGAGCAGAAACUUGAAAUGUGGCAAAAACCACAUGGGCCAAAUUUCUGUCUCUUUUCUUAUUUUUGCUUUUUUGUUUAAAGGUUUUGCUAUUGGGAAAGCCACUGAUCGGAUGGAUGCUUUCAGGAAAGCAAAGAACAGAGCAGUUCACCAUUUGUAUUAUAUAGAACGAUAUGAAGACCAUACAAUAUUCCAUGAUAUUUCAUUAAGAUUUAAAAGGACGCAUAUCAAGAUGAAGAAACAACCCAAAGGUUACGGCCUCCGCUGCCACAGGGCCAUCAUCACCAUCUGCCGGCUCAUUGGCAUCAAAGACAUGUAUGCCAAGGUCUCUGGGUCCACUAAUAUGCUCAGCCUCACCCAGGGCCUCUUCCAUGGGCUCUCCAGACAGGAAACCCAUCAACAGCUGGCUGAUAAGAAGGGCCUCCAUGUUGUGGAAAUCCGAGAGGAAUGUGGCCCUCUGCCCAUUGUGGUUGCCUCCCCCCGGGGGGCCUUGAGGAAGGAUCCAGAGCCAGAUGAGGUUCCAGACAUCAAACUGGACUGGGAAGACGUGAAGACUGCACAGGGAAUGAAGCGCUGUGUGUGGUCUAAUUUAAAGAGAGCCGCCACGUAACCUCUCUGGCCUUGUGCAGCCAGUUCCUGUGCU
rnacentral:sRNA from 1 species